rnacentral:tRNA from 2 species
CUAGAAAUAUGUCUGACAAAAGAGUUACUUUGAUAGAGUAAAUGAUAGAGGUCCCAAUCCCCUUGUUUC